UACAGAGGUCUCAAGCGUUUGUUCGGGAUUCAUUGGGCGUAAAGGGUGCGUAGGUGGCGUCGUAAGUCGGGUGUGAAAUUUCGGAGCUUAACUCCGAAACUGCAUUCGAUACUGCGGUGCUUGAGGACUGGAGAGGAGACUGGGAAUUUACGGUGUAGCAGUGAAAUGCGUAGAGAUCGUAAGGAAGACCAGUGGCGAAGGCGGAUCUCUGGAC
rnacentral:rRNA from 1 species